AAGACUUAAAGGCAGCCUAUGUCCAACCCUCUAAAAUAAAAGACCGAACAACACCCAUUGCCCUCCAGUCUUUGGUUGGGGUGACCCCGGGGAAAAGCAAAACCUCCGUGAAGAUCGAGAGAACUUCUCUCACAGACAAGACCCACCAGUCUAGUAAACAGAACGCCUGACUAAUACUAGCUAAUGAUCCGGCCCAUGCCGAUUAAUGAACCAAGUUACCCC
rnacentral:rRNA from 1 species